GCUUAUCAUCAUCUUUGGCCAGACGGCAUGUCCGUUACAUCCAGCAACAUUUUCCACAAGGACCGUGACCGCCUAAUGUUGAUUUUGUGAACUUCUUCUCAGCGAUAAUAUUUCGUGGCUGCUUCUCUCGAUUCUCGGUGAAGCAUAUUCAAAUUGCUUUGGGUAGAGUUGACCGCCACUCAUUGUCGAGGACCUGGCGAAGAUUUUAGAUGUUCUUCUGUUUGUAUACCCGUUACUCGUAGAGUUUAAGGGUAUAUUGGGUUCGAGGAGAAGUAUGUAGCAGGUAGACGGAAGCCUCUUCGACCCCAUAAAGUAUAUAAGUUAACUAAGUUAACCGAGCGGCGGCAAUGACCGUUCGUUCGACAGCUCGCUCCGGCCAAAACUGCUGACACAGCGUCUGGCCGGAUGCCCAUGCAUAGCCGGCAAACACAGCAUAUUUGCGUGGCCGCUAUGAUUCCAAUUUUUGUUAGCUUUAAGUUCAGUCUAAUUUGAAGUCUUGAAUAAAGAGCACAAGCUCUGACAAUAUUAAA